rnacentral:rRNA from 1 species
CGUAGGUGGCAAGCGUUGUCCAGAAUUAUUGGGCGUAAAGCGCGCGCAGGCGGUUCCUUAAGUCUGAUGUGAAAGCCCCCGGCUCAACCGGGGAGGGUCAUUGGAAACUGGGGAACUUGAGUGCAGAAGAGAAGAGCGGAAUUCCACGUGUAGCGGUGAAAUGCGUAGAGAUGUGGAGGAACACCAGUGGCGAAGGCGGCUCUUUGGUCUGUAACUGACGCUGAGGCGCGAAAGCGUGGGGAGCAAACAGGAUUAGAUACCCUGGUAGUCCACGCCGUAAACGAUGAGUGCUAAGUGUUAGAGGGUUUCCGCCCUUUAGUGCUGCAGCUAACGCAUUAAGCACUCCGCCUGGGGAGUACGGCCGCAAGGCUG